GAUGAACGCUGGCGGCGUGCCUAAUACAUGCAAGUCGAGCGAACGGACGAGAAGCUUGCUCCUCUGAUGUUAGCGGCGGACGGGUGAGUAACACGUGGAUAACCUACCUAUAAGACUGGGAUAACUUCGGGAAACCGGAGCUAAUACCGGAUAAUAUUUUGAACCGCAUGGUUCAAAAGUGAAAGACGGUCUUGCUGUCACUUAUAGAUGGAUCCGCGCUGCAUUAGCUAGUUGGUAAGGUAACGGCUUACCAAGGCAACGAUGCGUAGCCGACCUGAGAGGGUGAUCGGCCACACUGGAACUGAGACACGGUCCAGACUCCUACGGGAGGCAGCAGUAGGGAAUCUUCCGCAAAGGGCGAAAGCCUGACGGAGCAACGCCGCGUGAGUGAUGAAGGUCUUCGGAUCGUAAAACUCUGUUAUUAGGGAAGAACAUAUGUGUAAGUAACCGUGCACAUCUUGACGGUACCUAAUCAGAAAGCCACGGCUAACUACGUG
rnacentral:rRNA from 1 species